AAAACACUGAACUGAAAUGCCUGUUGGAUUAAAAUUCAGUAUGGAAAAAUUGAUUUUCUGAUGUUCUUCUUUCAUGUCCAGAAGCAUCUUUGCAUCUCCUUUGGCUCAUUCCCAUUUGCCUAUUCACAAGUGGUUUGUUGGUUUUGGUCAGCAAGAAAAAAAAAGGUGCCAAGCAGAAAGAACAAACUAUCUAUGCAGAAGUUGACGAGAACAUAAAGCCAAAAAAGUCACCAGAGAUGUUGGAGAAAUCAGAUAAUCCUCAUACAGUGCAUAUUACUGCAGGAGAUCCAGGACAAACUGAUGUUACCAUCCACACCACACACAACGACGCCCCUAUUAAUCAGAGUUCAUCACUCACAGAGAAGAGCAAACCAGAUGCACCAGUCACUAUCUACUGUACCAUUCAGCAGCAACCAAAACCCCCGAAAACUGAAGCUGAAAACACUAUUUAUGCUGUGGUCAGUAAACAGCCAGCCGGGUAUGAAUCUGCACAUCCACAAUCAGAAUAAAAGU
ensembl:lncRNA